rnacentral:tRNA from 1 species
GCCUGGGUGGCUCAGUGGUUGAGCGUCUGCCUUCAGCUCAGGGGGUCCUGGGAUCAAGUCCUACAUUGGGCU